CAAAAAGUGAUCGUUUCUGUUGAUGUUUCCGAUUAUUUGCGGCAGCAGAAAAAUGAUCAACGAAAAGUACGGCAUAGUAGAAAAAAGUUUGAUCUGUUUUUUGAUCCGUACUUAACAUGAUACGAAUAAAUUCAUAGAAAGUUAUUUUUCGAAUCGGUGUCAACUUUAGAACUGAAUCUGAUGAAACUGAUAUUGAUACGGUAACUGUGCUAUCAAAACCGACAAUUAUCCAGCAUACCGCUAAUUGUUGUUCCCGCAGAUAAGGAAAUCAGCCUGAUCUACAAGCGGCCUAAACAACAGAACAAGCCGAUCCACGUUACGCUAAAGCAUCGUGCGUUAAAGAAGAUGAAAAACAUCAUAGGCAAAACUUUCAUCCGCCCGCCCUGUGUUGUGCUAGGCUAGUGCUGUGUGCUGUCAUGCAAUCCCAGUAAACGGCUGCGACGUAUAAGGGUUGUGUCACUUUUCCGAAAGUUCGGCUGCCGCUUUCCCAAAAAAGCCCAAUGAACAAAGGUGGAUAUGGAUGUGUGGUUCGUUCGAGUUGUUAUUAUGGAUUAAUUACAAAAAUCGAGUCGACUGGACUUAUUUAUUUACUCAAAAAUGAGACGAGUUACUCGUCGAAGCUUCUAUAAAACAGCCUUGUCGUCGUGUACUCUGUAAGUAGAAAAUGAUGAAAAAUAAAAUAGUCACUAAACCCUA